GACUAACGUUGGCGGCGUGCAUAACACAUGCAAGUUGAGCGUGGCCUUAGUUUACUAAGGUCUAGCAGCGGACGGCUGAGUAAUGCACAGGAACGUACCCGGAAGUGGGGGAUAGCCCUUCGAAAGAAGGGGUAAUACCGCAUGUGAUCGCAAGAUCAAAGCCGCAAAGGCGCUACCGGAGCGGCCUGUGUCCUAUCAGGUUGUUGGUGGGGUAAAAGCCUACCAAGCCUAUGACGGGAACUGGUCUGAGAGGAUGACCAGUCAGAUCGGACUGAGACACGGCCCGAACUCCUACGGGAGGCAGCAGUUGGGAAUCUUGCACAAUGGACGAAAGUCUGAUGCAGCGACGCCGCGUGGGGAUGAAGGUUUUC
rnacentral:rRNA from 1 species